CCCUGCUGCUGGGCCACCCUGUGCCCUCGCACAGGAAGGCUCUCCUUGUGAGAAUGGCCCCUCUCCUCCCUGGAGACGGCCACUUGCUCCACGUCACCCUCCAACACACAUGCCUGCUGAGCCAAGCUGCCUCCUGUGUGAGGUCUCACCAGGGUCAGUGACCUGGGCAUUCUCAGACACUGACAGGCCAUUCAGAAGACACGGGACAAUGAAAAGGAGCAAAUUAUGGAGGCACACAUCAGCCGAGGGGUCUCCAGAAACCAAAGGAAAGGCGGAAGCCCACAGACCACACAGGUAGGGUUCCUUUUGUGCAGCAUCCCUGAUGAGGCCAUGAAUCAGAGGCCAGAACCGCAGCCAGCAGGGGCUGAGUGGGAGGCAGGAGGUGUGGCUGAAAGGGUGGGGGACCCGGGAGGCCUGGGUGCUGCCUGUAUGCUUGUCGCAGCUCUGGGACCCACUGUCACGGCCCAUAAUUCCCCCCUUUUUUCUGCAGUUCUGGGACCAAACCCAGGGCCUCAUGCCUCCUGAGCAAGUCCCCCUGGAGCUCCCCCUGCCCAGAGAAGAUGUCUGAUUGAGGCAGAAAUCCAAGGUGCCCAGGACCAGGACGGGCGCAGCCACGCAGGCACCCUGGGCCGUGGUCCUGCACUGGAAGCCUCCUGAGAACAGGGGGAGAGCACUGUCCAGAUCGAAGCCUGUAGCCUGGGGACACAGGUGCCGCUGCCUGAGCCUUGUCCCCAAGUGUCCCCUCCUGGGCUGAGCAGGGGUGUGGGCAUCGGGGAGACGAGGGACCUCAGCGCAGAGUCUCCCUGGCUCCCUGGUGUCUGAGAGGCCGGCCCUGGGCCGCGACUCCCCCCCUUCCCGCCCCUGCUGCGUGGAGAGGGUGAGAGCAACUCCAGGAACAGCUGCAGACACCUGGCCCCACUGCUCCCUGCUGUGUCCCCUGCAGGGCGCCUGCUGCCCCAUGACCACCCACCCGCAGGUGUCCACCCUCGUCCUGUGCAGAGGUCACCAGCACAGAAGGUUCCAGAGGAGGUGGAGGGUCUUGGGCUCUGCUCUGACAUGAGGAAGGGGCUGGGCCAGGCCCCCCGGGACCGUGCAGCUGAUGCAGGCCACUGGGUGUCGCCCGUGGCGCUGGCAGGACGGGAGGGAAGCCCACGGCCAGCUCUGCCCCUCCUGGUGCCUGCAGCCUGCACUGCUUCCCCUCCCCGUCUCCCUACUUGGAAGUGGCUGUGCUCUGGGACUCUGCCUGUUGUGGGCCCAGAGAAGCGGUGCGUGUGGCCUCCAUGCCAAGUUCAGCAGCACCAGGACCGCUGUCACCCUCUGCCCCUCCCCUGCCUGAGGUCUGUGGCCACAGCUUCUGGGGCACUUGCGGGACCCUUCAUCCUUCAGACGUCCCCUGCACAGACAAAGCCUCUCCUGCUCCCCUUGACGUGAAAAACCUCCCACGAGUCAUCGUAGCCCUGUGUGUGCAUGUGCACAUGU
rnacentral:lncRNA from 1 species